AACGCACGAGACCUGCGGACCUGCGGAGGGAUCAUUAACGAAUAUCUAUGGCGUUGGUUGUAGCUGGCUCUUAGGAGCAUUUUGUGCACGCCCGUCAUUCAUAUCAUCUUUCCACCUGUGAACUAUGUGUAGGCCUGGAUACCCCUCGCUUUGGCAACAAGGCGGAUACAAGGAUUGCUGCGUCGCAAGGCCGGCUCUCUUUGAAUUUCCAGGUUCUAUGUCUUUUACACACCCCAUUUG
rnacentral:misc_RNA from 1 species